UCAGCAGCCGCGGUAAUACGAAGGAUCCAAGCGUUGUCCGGAUUUACUGGGUUUAAAGGGUGCGUAGGCGGACUUUUAAGUCAGUGGUGAAAGCCGGUAGCUUAACUAUCGAAUUGCCAUUGAAACUGAAAGUCUCGAGUAUGGUUGAGGUGGCCGGAAUGUAUCAUGUAGCGGUGAAAUGCUUAGAUAUGAUACAGAACACCAAUUGCGAAGGCAGGUCACUAAGCCAUAACUGACGCUGAGGCACGAAAGCGUGGGGAGCAAACAGGAUUAGAUACCCUGGUAGUCCACGCCCUAAACGUUGAUAACUCGCUGUUGGCGAUACACAGUCAGCGGCUAAGCGAAAGCGGUAAGUUAUCCACCUGGGGAGUACGGUCGCAAGAUUGAAACUCAAAGGAAUUGACGGGGGCCCGCACAAGC
rnacentral:rRNA from 1 species